rnacentral:pre_miRNA from 1 species
UGGCGACGACGACGAUGAUAAUGAUGAUGAUGAUGAUGAUAGCAUCAGUAUUAUUCAUUUUAUCAUCAUCAUCAUCAUCAUCAUCAUCAUCAUCU